AGAGUUUGAUCCUGGCUCAGGAUGAACGCUAGCGGCAGGCCUAAUACAUGCAAGUCGAACGGUGUAGCAAUACAUAGUGGCGCACGGGUGCGUAACACGUAUGCAACCUACCUUAUACUGAGGGAUAGCCUUUGGAAACGGAGAUUAAUACCUCAUGGGACAUUGACUUGGCAUCGGGUUAAUGUUAAAGAUUUAUUGGUAUAAGAUGGGCAUGCGUCCAAUUAGUUAGUUGGUGAGGUAACGGCUCACCAAGACGAUGAUUGGUAGGGGAACUGAGAGGUUAAUCCCCCACACUGGCACUGAGAUACGGGCCAGACUCCUACGGGAGGCAGCAGUAGGGAAUAUUGGGCAAUGGAGGCAACUCUGACCCAGCCAUGCCGCGUGCAGGAUGAAGGCGUUAUGCGUUGUAAACUGCUUUUAUAUAGGAAGAAAUAGACCUUGCGAGGUAAGUUGACGGUACUAUAUGAAUAAGCACCGGCUAACUCCGUGCCAGCAGCCGCGGUAAUACGGAGGGUGCAAGCGUUGUCCGGAUUUAUUGGGUUUAAAGGGUGCGUAGGCGGUUUAUUAAGUCAGUGGUGAAAGACGGUCGCUCAACGAUUGCAGUGCCAUUGAUACUGGUAGACUUGAGUGGGAUUGAGGUAGCUGGAAUGG
rnacentral:rRNA from 1 species